GAAAUGCGAUAAGUAGUGUGAAUUGCAGAAUUCAGUGAAUCAUCAAAUCUUUGAACGCACAUUGCGCCCUUUGGUAUUCCUUAGGGCAUGCCUGUUUGAGCGUCAUUUAAACCUUCAAGCUCUGCUUAGUGUUGGGCAUGUCACGCCCCCCUCCACAGGGGCGUGCGCCUUAAAUAUAUUAGCGGCUAGUACGUUGGCUUCGAGCGCAGCAGAAACGCGAACUCAGGGACUCUAGAUCAGCCCUCCACAAGCUAUUUUACCAUUUUGACCUUGGAUCAGGUAGGGAUACCUGCUGAACUUAA
rnacentral:misc_RNA from 1 species